ensembl:Mt_tRNA
UAGAAUAUAAUGUAAAGGAAACAUAAAGAGUUUUGAUCUCUUUUAUAUAGGUUCAAGUCCUAUUUUUCUAA